rnacentral:rRNA from 1 species
CCUACGGGUGGCUGCAGUGGGGAAUAUUGCACAAUGGGGGGAACCCUGAUGCAGCAACGCCGCGUGGGUGAAGAAGUACUUCGGUAUGUAAAGCCCUGUCAGCAGGGAAGAAAAUGACGGUACUUGACCAAGAAGCCCCGGCUAACUACGUGCCAGCAGCCGCGGUAACACGUAGGGGGCAAGCGUUAUCCGGAUUUACUGGGUGUAAAGGGAGCGUAGACGGCAAGGCAAGUCUGGAGUGAAAGCCCGUGGCUCAACCACGGGACUGCUUUGGAAACUGUGUUGCUGGAGUGCAGGAGGGGUAAGCGGAAUUCCUGGUGUAGCGGUGAAAUGCGUAGAUAUUAGGAGGAACACCGGUGGCGAAGGCGGCUUACUGGACUGUAACUGACGUUGAGGCUCGAAGGCGUGGGGAGCGAACAGGAUUAGAUACCCGGGUAGUC